rnacentral:rRNA from 1 species
GACGAACGCUGGCGGCGUGCUUAACACAUGCAAGUCGAACGGAAAGGCCCUGCUUCUUUGGUCUGCCCAUCUUACUAACGGAUGGGUAACACGUGAGUAACCUACCCUUGCCUUUGGGAUAACUUCCAGAAACUGGGGCUUAUUCCUGCUACGUACUCCUUCUGCAUGGUGUGGAGUGGAAAGUUUCGGCGGUUGGGGAUGAUCUAGCGGCUUAUCAGCUUGUUGGUGGGGUAGUGGCUUACGAAGGCUUUGACGGGUAGCCGGACUGAGAGGGUGACCGGCCACAUUGGGACUGAGGAGCGGCCCAGAGUCCUACGGGAGGCAGCAGUGGGGAAUAGUGCACAAUGGGCGGAAGGCUGAUGCAGCAACGCCGCGUGCGGGAUGACGGCCUUCGGGCUGUAAACCGCUUUCGCCUGUGACGAAGCGUGAGUGACGGUAAUGGGUAAAGAAGCACCGGCUAACUACGUG